AGGGUCGGCUGGGCGAUCGCGGAUUGCGCAGGCAAUCUGAGGAAAGUCCGCGCUCCAAAGAGCACGAUGCCGGAUAAUCCCCGGGCGGUGAAAACCGCGCACAGGACCACAGAAAACAACCGCCGGGUUUCCCGGUAAGGGUGAAAAGGUGGGGUAAGAGCCCACCGGCGUCGGCAGCAAUGUCGUCGGCCAGGCAACCGCCAUCGGGAGCAAGGCCAAGCAGGAGCAAAGCUCGCUUGCGAGCGGGGGGCGGCUCGUCCCCUUGGAGCUCCGGGUAGGCUGCACGAGCCCCGCGGCAACGUGCGGGCCCAGAUAGAUGAUCGCCCACGCGUGUGCGGAUGGGAUGAAGGGAUCUUCCCGUAAACCAUCUACAUACGCUGGACAGAACGCGGCUUAUAGGCCGUCCCACGAU
rnacentral:RNase_P_RNA from 1 species